UAUGCACUGGCGGUCUGCUUAAACAUGCAAGUCGAACGAACUCUUCGAGUGAGUGGCGGACGGGUGAGUAACGCGUGAGAAUCUGCCUGUGGGUCGGGGACAACCACUGGAAACGGUGGCUAAUACCGGAUGAGCCGAAAGGUAAAAAAUUUAUUGCCCACGGAUGAGCUCGCGUCUGAUUAGCUAGUUGGUAAGGUAAAAGCGUACCAAGGCGACGAUCAGUAGCUGGUCUGAGAGGAUGAGCAGCCACACUGGGACUGAGACACGGCCCAGACUCCUACGGGAGGCAGCAGUGGGGAAUUUUCCGCAAUGGGCGAAAGCCUGACGGAGCGGGACCGUGUGGGGGAGGAAGGUUUUUGGAUCGUAGACCCCUUUUGUUACGGAAUAAUUUCUGACGGCACUUGACUAAUAAACCUCGGCUAACUCCGUGCCAGCAGCCGCGGUAAUACGGAGGAAGGCAGCGUUUUCCGGAAUGAUUGGGCGUAAAGCGUCUGGUGGUGGCCUUAUAGUUCUGCUGUUAAAGAUCACAGCUCAACUGUGGGAAGGCAGUGGAAACUGGCAAGCUAUGAGGCUGGUAGGGGUAAAGAGAAUUCCCGGUGUAGCGGUGAAAUGCGUAGAUAUCGGGAAGAACACCGGUGGCGAAAGCGCUUUACUGGGCCAGACCUGACACUGAAGGACGAAAGCUAGGGGAGCGAAUGGGAUUAGAUACCCCUGUAGUCCUAGCUGUAAACGAUGGAGACUACGUGACGCAAGUAUCGACCCGAGCAUGUACCGUAGCCUACGCAUUGCGUCUCCAUCUGGCGAGAACACACGCAAGUGUGAGACUAAAUGAAUGACUGACGGCGAGUCAGUCAGAUCAUUCACAUGCGGCGUCGCAUGCAUCGAACGGCCGAUCACCCAUCGUGAGUCGAUCACAUACAUGCUGCCGUUACAAUAUAAA
rnacentral:rRNA from 1 species